rnacentral:rRNA from 1 species
CGAAAGCCUGACGGAGCAACGCCGCGUGAGGGAUGGAGGCCUUUGGGCUGUAAACCUCUUUUCUCAAGGAAGAAGAUCUGACGGUACUUGAGGAAUAAGCCACGGCUAAUUCCGUGCCAGCAGCCGCGGUAAUACGGGAGUGGCAAGCGUUAUCCGGAAUUAUUGGGCGUAAAGCGUCCGCAGGCGGCCGUUUAAGUCUGUUGUUAAAUCGUGGAGCUCAACUCCAUCACGGCAAUGGAAACUGUUCGGCUUGAGUAUGGUAGGGGCAGAGGGAAUUUCCGGUGUAGCGGUGAAAUGCGUAGAUAUCGGGAAGAACACCAGUGGCGAAAGCGCUCUGCUGGGCCAUUACUGACGCUCAUGGACGAAAGCCAGGGGAGCGAAAGGGAUUAGAUACCCCUGUAGUCCUGGCCGUAAACGAUGAACACUAGAUGUUGGGGGAAUCGACCCCCUCGGUGUCGUAGCUAACGCGUUAAGUGUUCCGCCUGGGGAGUACGCACGCAAGUGUAAAACUCAAAGGAAUUGACGGGGGCCCGCACAAGCGGUGGAGUAUGUGGUUUAAUUCGAUGCAACGCGAAGAACCUUACCAAGGCUUGACAUCCUGCGAAUCUCUAAGAAAUUAGAGAGUGCCUUCGGGAACGCAGUGACAGGUGGUGCAUGGCUGUCGUCAGCUCGUGUCGUGAGAUGUUGGGUUAAGUCCCGCAACGAGCGCAACCCACGUUUUUAGUUGCCAGCAUUCAGUUGGGCACUCUAGAAAGACUGCCGGUGACAAACCGGAGGAAGGUGUGGACGACGUCAAGUCAUCAUGCCCCUUACGCUUUGGGCUACACACGUACUACAAUGCUGCGGACAAAGAGUAGCGAUCUUGCGAAAGUUAGCUAAUCUCAUAAACCGUGGCUCAGUUCAGAUCGUAGGCUGCAACUCGCCUACGUGAAGGAGGAAUCGCUAGUAAUCGCAGGUCAGCAUACUGCGGUGAAUACGUUCCCGGGCCUUGUACACACCGCCCGUCACACCAUGGAAGUUGGCCAUGCCCGAAGUCGUUACUCUAACCUUUUGGAAGAGGGCGCCGAGGGCAGGGCUAAUGACUGGGGUGAAGUCGUAACAAGGUAGCCGUAGCGGAAGCUGCGGCUGGAUCACCUCCUAA